rnacentral:lncRNA from 1 species
AGAGGUGAUCCUUGGAAAAGUGGAUUUGUUUAUUCAGGUAUGUGUGCUUAUAUGUGUUAGCGUAUAUAUGUCUGUAUGUCCUGGAAUGUAUAUGAAUAUUAUGCAUUGGUGAAGCAUUAUAAUGGAAUAUUUGUGUGUGUGCUGUGUGGCCGGCACUUACCUAGACACUUAAAAGUAUUAUCUCAUUCAGUUUAAUCCUCACAGCAACAUGGGGUAGGUAUUUUAUCUCUGUUUUACAGAUGCAAAAAAACGGAAGCAGUAAAUACACCUGUGUGAAUGUGGACGAAUGUGAGUUUCUGUGUCUGUGCAUGUCUACGUAUGUGCCUAUGCGUAUAACAGGGGCGUGUGUUUGUAUAUACAUCUGGGAAUGCGUGCAUCCAAGGUCACCCUUGGAUGACCUUGAUCCCUAUCAGUGAUCUCACAUGGCUGCAUAGAGAAGGGGAUGGGCUCGGGGGUCCUGGAUUUCUGAGUAGGAAGGGCAGUGUCUUUGUCUGACACACCUCAAUGGGAAGCUGCAAGUUCAUUUUCCCAGAUGACCCAGGAAGUGAGGGGGCUAGUUACUGGGUCAUUAGUGACUUCCCCUCUCCCUGCAGGUUCAUGGUAAAGCUGGCAGAGGAGACAGAUGGCAUCAUUGUCACCAAUGAGCAGAUUCACAUCCUGAUGAAUAAUUCCAAGAAACUGAUGGUCAAAGAUCGCUUGCUGCCUUUCACCUUUGCGGGGAAUCUCUUCAUGGUGCCUGAUGACCCCCUGGGCCGUGAUGGCCCCACCUUGGAUGAGUUUCUGAAGAAGCCAAACAGGUAA